UACGGAGGGAGCUAGCGUUGUUCGGAAUUACUGGCGUAAAGCGCACGUAGGCGGCUUUGUAAGUUAGAGGUGAAAGCCCGGGGCUCAACUCCGGAACUGCCUUUAAGACUGCAUCGCUUGAAUCCAGGAGAGGUGAGUGGAAUUCCGAGUGUAGAGGUGAAAUUCGUAGAUAUUCGGAAGAACACCAGUGGCGAAGGCGGCUCACUGGACUGGUAUUGACGCUGAGGUGCGAAAGCGUGGGGAGCAAACAGG
rnacentral:rRNA from 1 species